GCGUUACUCGGAAUUACUGGGCGUAAAGCGUGCGUAGGUGGUUUGUUAAGUCUGAUGUGAAGGCCCCGGGCUCAACCUGGGAAUUGCAUUGGAUACUGGCAGGCUAGAGUGCGGUAGAGGGUAGCGGAAUUCUCGGUGUAGCAGUGAAAUGCGUAGGGAUCAGGAGGAACACCAGUGGCGAAGGCGACUACCUGGACCAGCACUGACACUGAGGCACGAAAGCGUG
rnacentral:rRNA from 1 species